rnacentral:rRNA from 1 species
AUUGAACGCUGGCGGCAGGCUUAACACAUGCAAGUCGAGCGGAGUGAUGGUGCUUGCACUAUCACUUAGCGGCGGACGGGUGAGUAAUGCUUAGGAAUCUGCCUAUUAGUGGGGGACAACAUCUCGAAAGGGAUGCUAAUACCGCAUACGUCCUACGGGAGAAAGCAGGGGAUCACUUGUGACCUUGCGCUAAUAGAUGAGCCUAAGUCGGAUUAGCUAGUUGGUGGGGUAAAGGCCUACCAAGGCGACGAUCUGUAGCGGGUCUGAGAGGAUGAUCCGCCACACUGGGACUGAGACACGGCCCAGACUCCUACGGGAGGCAGCAGUGGGGAAUAUUGGACAAUGGGGGGGACCCUGAUUCAGCCAUGCCGCGUGUGUGAAGAAGGCCUUAUGGUUGUAAAGCACUUUAAGCGAGGAGGAGGCUCUUUUGGUUAAUACCCAAGAUGAGUGGACGUUACUCGCAGAAUAAGCACCGGCUAACUCUGUGCCAGCAGCCGCAGUAAUAC